UGGUAACGAGGGCUCCAUGUCUCA
rnacentral:piRNA from 1 species